ACGGGAGGCAGCAGUGGGGAAUAUUGCACAAUGGGGGGAACCCUGAUGCAGCGACGCCGCGUGAGUGAAGAAGUAUUUCGGUAUGUAAAGCUCUAUCAGCAGGGAAGAAAAUGACGGUACCUGACUAAGAAGCCCCGGCUAACUACGUGCCAGCAGCCGCGGUAGUACGUAGGGGGCAAGCGUUAUCCGGAUUUACUGUGUGUAAAGGGAGCGUAGACGGCGAUGCAAGUCUGAUGUGAAAGCCCGGGGCUCAACCCCGGCACUGCAUUGGAAACUGUGUUGCUAGAGUGCAGGAGAGGUAAGUGGAAUUCCUAGUGUAGCGGUGAAAUGCGUAGAUAUUAGGAGGAACACCAGAGGCGGAGGCGGCUUACUGGACUGUAACUGACGUUGAGGCUCGAAAGCGUGGGGAGCAAACAGGAUUAGAUACCCUGGUA
rnacentral:rRNA from 1 species